CAUGACAAUAUAUCGAAGAACAACAAAAAAAAAAUUUAAAAAAACGAAAAAGGAAAGUUUUAAUUUUUUUUCGCCGAUGUUUCUUAUGUGAGCUCGUUAAGACAUAUAUACCACCUGCAACAGUAAACCCACUUAUGGGAAAGUUUUAAAACUGAGGGACUAGUCUGCGUAGAAACGGACAGACGGAAUGACACACGGACAUGGCUAGUCCGAUUUUCCAAGUGAUGCUGCUUUAAAUAGGAACGACACCACUUCAGUAAGUGUUAAGGAAUUCCGAGAAGGAGAAGCUUGUGAAGUAGCUCAUGGUUGACCGAGUCACCUGCUAUUUUAAAGUCUGUGAAAAUUACAUCAGUUUGCUUUGAGGAUUGAAAGCCUUGAUUAAUGAAGGUAGUAGCAGAUUAGUCGUAGUUGAUCGAAAUUUUGUAGAGCUAUGUUGAUAUGGAUAUGACUUUAAUAAAGAAAAUAUCUCCGUAGAAGGGUUAUCUCACUGGCUGCACAACAAUCUACUCCAAUCAUAACUGCAAAUAAACCUUCCGACAGCUGUCGUGCUUCUGGACAUAUUGGAGAGAAGGCUAUGGCUCGAGUGGCAUGCAAAAUAUCAUCUAAAAGUAGCAAACAAACUACUACCUAUAUAGAGCAGCUCUCUGCAAACAGCAAACGAUAUUCACCGUGGAAUACUCAAUCAGGCCUAUGUAUAUGUCCACCCACCGAGAGUGAAUCAGCUUUACAAACACAGACAGGAGAUUUGGCUCGCAGCAACGAAGAGGGGCAAAUCCACUAAUCAACAGUUCAGAAGCUACUCCGCCUAUCGUAUUUCAGUCAGGCUCAUUCUAAUAGGCCACAGUCUACCGGCAUGAGAUAAGAACAGCAGAUGUUGACAGUGGAAUAUUGACGUUAAACGGCAAACGGAUGACGGAGGCUAAUGGGAGUUGUUUUAGAAUAGCACUAUGUUUGGCAAUGUCACGGUAGCUGCUAAUGUCGGUCUUUCUGCCUUUUUUGUGAAGUGGAUUAAUAAAGGAUUUUUUUCAAAUGGCAUAAAAGGUGGAUUGGAAAAAGUCUGCAAAAAAAUUCCUUGGCAGACGUGUUAUUAAGCAGAAGGGAUGGUGGAAACAUGUUGGAUUUGCGCUUCGAGUUUACAAAGGAGUAAAAAAGCUUGGGAUUCUGCGAUUCUGUGAA